rnacentral:snRNA from 1 species
UUUACUCUCUGUAACUAAAGUCAAAGUGCAGUGUUUGUUCUUAUGAAUUUAAUCUCUGAUAGGUCCUUGAUGUGAAAACUGUAUAUUAACUUGGUUGUUCAAAAAGAUGGGGAUUAGAAAAGAGGUUUGCUUUGUCUGCCCCAUGCAUUGACCUGGUAUUGCAGUGUCUCUAAAAAGAGUGUAUCUCCU